AUUGAACGCUGGCGGCAGGCUUAACACAUGCAAGUCGAGCGAGCGGCGGACGGGUGAGUAAUGUCUGGGAAACUGCCUGAUGGAGGGGGAUAACUACUGGAAACGGUAGCUAAUACCGCAUACCAUCAAAUGUGCCCAGAGGGGAUUAGCUAGUAGGUGGGGUAAUGGCUCACCUAGGCGACGAUCCCUAGCUGGUCUGAGAGGAAGACCAGCCAAACUGGAACUGAGACACGGUCCAGAGUCCUGCGGGAGGCAGCAGUGGGGAAUGUUGCACAAUGGGCGCAAGCCUGAUGCAGCCAUGCCGCGUGUGUGAAAAAGGCCUUCGGGUUGUAAAGCACGUUCAGCGAGGAGGCGUGACUCGCAGAAAAAGCACCGGGUAACACCGUGCCAGCAGCCGCGGUAAUAC
rnacentral:rRNA from 1 species